AGAGUUUGAUCAUGGCUCAGAACGAACGCUGGCGGCGUGGAUAAGACAUGCAAGUCGAGCGCUAAUUACAGGGUAGCAAUAUUCUGUAGUUGGAGCGGCGCAAGGGUGCGUAACACGUGGGUAAUCUGCCAUGAAGUUUGGGAUAACUCGCUGAAAGGCGAGCUAAUACCGGAUGUGACGAUUGGAAGGCAUCUUCUGAUCUUCAAAGCUGGGGACCGUAAGGCCUGGCGCUUCAUGAUGAGCCCGCGGCCUAUCAGCUAGUUGGUGAGGUAACGGCUCACCAAGGCUAAGACGGGUAGCUGGUCUGAGAGGACGACCAGCCACACUGGAACUGAGACACGGUCCAGACACCUACGGGUGGCAGCAGUCGAGAAUUUUUCACAAUGGGGGAAACCCUGAUGGAGCGACGCCGCGUGGGGGAUGAAUGGCUUCGGCCCGUAAACCCCUGUCAUUUGCGAACAAAUUGGUUCAAUUAACACCUGAACCAUUGAUAGUAGCGGAAGAGGAAGGGACGGCUAACUCUGUGCCAGCAGCCGCGGUAAUACAGAGGUCCCAAGCGUUGUUCGGAUUCACUGGGCGUAAAGGGUGCGUAGGCGGUCGGGUAAGUCUGAUGUGAAAUCUCACAGCUUAACUGUGAAACUGCAUUGGAUACUAUUCGGCUUGAGGUCAGGAGGGGGGACUGGAAUUCUCGGUGUAGCAGUGAAAUGCGUAGAUAUCGAGAGGAACACCAGUGGCGAAGGCGAGUCCCUGGACAGAUCCUGACGCUGAGGCACGAAAGCUAGGGGAGCAAACAGGAUUAGAUACCCUAGUAGUCC
rnacentral:rRNA from 1 species